rnacentral:rRNA from 1 species
GAUGAACGCUAGCGAUAGGCCUAACACAUGCAAGUCGAGGGGCAUCACAUGAAGUAGCAAUACGGAUGGUGGCGACCGGCGCACGGGUGAGUAACACGUAUGCAACCUGCCUUCAACAAGGGGAUAACCCGUUGAAAGACGGACUAAUACCCUAUAACACAGGGGUCCCGCAUGGGAAUAUUUGUUAAAGGACAACCGGUUGAAGAUGGGCAUGCGUUCCAUUAGCUAGUUGGCGGGGUAACGGCCCACCAAGGCAACGAUGGAUAGGGGAACUGAGAGGUUUAUCCCCCACACUGGUACUGAGACACGGACCAGACUCCUACGGGAGGCAGCAGUGAGGAAUAUUGGUCAAUGGACGCAAGUCUGAACCAGCCACGUCGCGUGAAGGAAGACGGCCCUACGGGUUGUAAACUUCUUUUAUACGGGAAUAAAGUGCCCCACGCGUGGGGUUUUGCAUGUACCGUAUGAAUAAGGAUCGGCUAACUCCGUGCCAGCAGCCGCGGUAAUUACUGACUCAC